rnacentral:lncRNA from 10 species
AUAGUGCCUCUUAUGCUUAUGCUGCAAUUAAGCAACUUGUGGAAGAGGCUUAUGUGGUGACAUUAGGAAAAAAGGUUGGACACCUAAUUUGCACAUCAGGACUGCCAUGGACCAUGGUGCAAUGAAGGUGAAGACUGGAGCACUCAUCACCCACGGGUCUCACUUUGUUGCCCAGGCUGGAGUAUAGUGCCCUGAUCACAGCUUGCUGCAACCUCAAGCUCCCAUGCUCAAGCAAGCUUCCUGCCUCAACUUCCCAAGUAGCUGAGACCACAGGCAUGCUCCAUGACACCUGAACUCCUGAACUCAAGCGAUCCUCCUGCCUCAG